CCCACGCGCGCGCGCUCGCGCACCACGCGCCCCGCGCGGCCCGCCCGGAUCGUGGCCUCUCGAGAGCAAGACAUGGGAAAGCGGAACCACCAAAAGGAGUGAUGAUCAACGAUCUCAUGAUAAAUCUGGAUGCUAGUUCUCAUGCCUCAGGACAUCCUACUGGGAACGACACACCAGCUCCUGGGAUCAGACUUUCAUCUACUUAGGACCCCUCUUUGCCCAGACUACUAAAGCCAGUCUUCACUAGCCACGAAUGGCUACCCAAAGGAAACACUUGGUGAAAGAUUUUAAUCCUUACAUUACCUGCUAUAUCUGUAAAGGGUAUCUGAUCAAGCCAACAACAGUGACGGAAUGCCUCCAUACAUCUGCAGAAUCCUACUGGAUGUCCACUUGGAUGUCCUGAAGCCACCUGAAACUCAGCAUAUCUACGAAUGAUCAAAUGGGAUGCCAGCACUCAGUUAUCCAAGCAAGAAAUAUGCUCCAUGCUUGACUCUUUACCCUCACUAACAAAACUGGGCAAAGUCCUGCUGGUCUCUCUCUUUAAUACUUCUCAAAUCUGUCCCUUUAGUUUCAUCCCUCUGUUACUGUUCUCAUUCAGAUUCUUAUUACAUCUCACCAAAGCCACUGCAGCACAUUCUUAACUGUGUCCAAGUGGUAAUAAUUAAAAACAGCUUACUGUCUUUAUCAUUAUCACUCUUAACCCACCCUAAAAUUUCCUAAAGGUAUCCCGUUGACCUCAGGAUACAUUAAAGCUACUUAGUGGUGACUGGUUUCUGCCUACCACUUCCUCCCCUACCACCUAACACUCACACAUACAAAUACUUGGUUCAACUGUUUGCUCUCCUUGAAAUGAAUGCCUCCUCUGUGCCCAGCUAGCAGUUACCCAUCCUUUAAAACUCAUCCCCUCUAAGAUGUGCCCUACCACCUGCAGAUUUGGGUUAAGUGUCUCAAUAAAAUCUUAAAUGAAUAAAUGCAUGGCUAAUAAGUUA
rnacentral:lncRNA from 10 species